rnacentral:misc_RNA from 1 species
GUUUCAAACAGAAGUAGAGAUGAUCAGCAUGGCUGUGCAUCGGAACCUGCUACGGCUACGUGGGUUUUGCAUGACGCCAACUGAACGACUUCUUGUUUACCCCUACAUGGCCAAUGGAAGUGUUGCGUCUUGCUUAAGAGAACGACCACCAUCCCAACCACCUCUUGAUUGGAGAACGAGAAAGCGAAUUGCAUUGGGAUCUGCGAGAGGGCUGUCUUAUUUGCAUGAUCACUGUGAUCCG